GGGUAUGCACAUUCGCAGCUCUGAGGGCUGAGUUUCUGGUCAGCUGUGCAGAGUUUGGUCCCGCAGUUAGCUAAGCUGGUGGAGUAAACUUUGGAGGACUGUUGCCUUUGGAUUUGGCAGUAGUUAGUGUUGGACAGAGCCGUGCAGACCGGGUUUCCAACGAGUCUGAAUAUAUCAUAAGAUCAAUUUAAAAACCCUUGCUUUUGUGUUUUUGCUUAUUUCAAGACCAAAAAGUGACUCCAGCUG
rnacentral:lncRNA from 1 species